rnacentral:sRNA from 1 species
UCAUAAUUUAGAAUGUUGUUGAAAUUGGAACAUAGUGGAGUAUUCUAAAUUCUGACUUUUCCUUAAGUUAUUGCAUAAUUAUAAUAUAACGACCAUAGAAAAAACUGGAACUCCGGGGUUGUUAUUCGUGACAAACAGUCUAAAUAUGGUUAUUAUUCAUUAAAGUUGCGUUUACACCAGAUUCCCUUUAGGGCGCCAUCCCUGUAAUUCAAUAACCCUCUUGCAAAGCAAGAAAUGCGUAAAUAUGACUUGCAUUCGGAAAUACAUAUAUAUAUUGCGUAAUGAUGACCCCUAUAUUUUAUAUCAAUUUUUAAAAGACAUUCUUUUGCCGUUAUUUAUUCUCGUUUUUGCAUGUGUAUCUUCAAUUUUUCAGUUAAAAGAGUACCCUUUCCUUUAAAAUUUGACUUGAUUUCGCCCACUUAAUUAUGUUCUUGAAGAACCUGCGUAUGUUUGUAUUUGAUUUUGUAAUUUACGAAUUACGUGAAAUAGCGCAAGAAAUACACGGUACAUGUAUGUGUAUACUUAUUAUGUAAUGUGAAUAUUAUAUAAAUGAUAUAUUGUGUAGGUUAUACUCUGCAUGUUAAAGUUUAGUUCUGUUUUGUAUCUUUGUUAACCAAUAUGUUAAUGUGCAAUAACAGUUUUUGAUAAGAUGUGUUGAAAUAGUACUACACUCUUUCACGUGAAUUGCACGAUUCAGGGUAGAAUUACAAAAGAUGUAUGUAUAUGUAGGUCAAGUCGGAUUAUCGUGACAAUAUCAUUAAAGCUAAAUAUGU